rnacentral:rRNA from 1 species
GGGGCAACCUGGCGGCGAGUGGCGAACGGGUGAGUAAUAUAUCGGAACGUACCCUGGAGUGGGGGAUAACGUAGCGAAAGUUACGCUAAUACCGCAUACGAUCUAAGGAUGAAAGUGGGGGAUCGCAAGACCUCAUGCUCCUGGAGCGGCCGAUAUCUGAUUAGCUAGUUGGUGGGGUAAAGGCCUACCAAGGCAUCGAUCAGUAGCUGGUCUGAGAGGACGACCAGCCACACUGGAACUGAGACACGGUCCAGACUCCUACGGGAGGCAGCAGUGGGGAAUUUUGGACAAUGGGCGAAAGCCUGAUCCAGCAAUGCCGCGUGAGUGAAGAAGGCCUUCGGGUUGUAAAGCUCUUUUGUCAGGGAAGAAACGGUGGGUUCUAAUACAGCCUGCUAAUGACGGUACCUGAAGAAUAAGCACCGGCUAACUACGUGCCAGCAGCCGCGGUAAUACGGAGGU